UCGCAGAUCAUCUCUAAGAAGAACCGCCCGAGAUAUGCAAGUACCUCUUCGAGGGUGCAAGGAGAUGAUUGCAUGGAGCAUCUCAUGGGAUAAUAUAAGAGGCAACAGUGGAGAAGAAGAU